GUCGAAGCGGCGCAUGCGUAGCAUGGUCACCGAGUGAAGCUCCGCCGAUCCGACGCGGAGGCUGGGGUAUCUGGCAACCGGUGGGUGGAUGUAAGAGCAACUGCGUGGAGCAGGGCGUCGACCUUUUAAAGUUUCGCCGCAGGUGUAAUCGACCCAGGCCAACAAAUUCACCAAACUGUGAAGGCGACGAUAGCAGCUUUGGUACUUGUGCGUCCGUCGUGGGACGUCGUAUUCCUACUGCCGAGCAUGCACGAGAUAAAGACGACGCAAGUGUCAUAGACG